rnacentral:rRNA from 1 species
AACGAACGCUGGCGGCAGGCCUAACACAUGCAAGUCGAACGAUAUAGUGGCAGACGGGUGAGUAACGCGUGGGAACGUACCUUUCACUACGGAAUAGCUCCGAGAAAUUGGUGGUAAUACCGUAUACGCCCUCAGGGGGAAAGAUUUAUCGGUGAAAGAUCGGCCCGCGUUGGAUUAGCUAGUUGGUGAGGUAACGGCUCACAAAGGCGACGAUCCAUAGCUGGUCUGAGAGGAUGAUCAGCCACACUGGGACUGAGACACGGCCCAGACUCCUACGGGAGGCAGCAGUGGGGAAUCUUGCACAAUGGGCGAAAGCCUGAUGCAGCCAUGCCGCGUGAAUGAUGAAGGCCUUAGGGUUGUAAAAUUCUUUCGUCAGGGAUGAUAAUGACCGUACCUGAAGAAGGAGCCCCGGCUAACUUCGUGCCAGCAGCCGCGGUAACAC